rnacentral:sRNA from 1 species
AUUAGUACACUUUUAUUAUUAAUGUCAAAUGGCGAAGCACAAGCAGCUGAAGAAACAGGUGGUACAAAUACAGAAGCACAACCAA